rnacentral:rRNA from 1 species
CCUACGGGGGGCUGCAGUGAGGAAUAUUGGACAAUGGAUGGAAAUCUGAUCCAGCCAUGCCGCGUGCAGGAAGACGGCCCUAUGGGUUGUAAACUGCUUUUAUAUGGGAGCAAUAAGGUCUACGCGUAGACCGAUGAGAGUACCAUAUGAAUAAGCAUCGGCUAACUCCGUGCCAGCAGCCGCGGUAAUACGGAGGAUGCGAGCGUUAUCCGGAUUUAUUGGGUUUAAAGGGUGCGUAGGCGGCCUUAUAAGUCAGCGGUGAAAUUUUGCAGCUUAACUGUAACAGUGCCGUUGAUACUGUAGGGCUAGGAUUUGGUUGCUGUGGGUGGAAUGUGUGGUGUAGCGGUGAAAUGCUUAGAUAUCACACAGAAUAUCGAUUGCGAAGGCAGCUCACAAAGCCAAGAUUGACGCUGAGGCACGAAAGUGUGGGGAUCAAACAGGAUUAGAUACCCCGGUAGUC